UACGUAGGGGGCUAGCGUUGUCCGGAUUUAUUGGGCGUAAAGAGCGUGUAGGCGGCCGAGUAAGUCCGGUGUGAAAACUCGAGGCUUAACCUCGAGAUGUCAUCGGAAACUAUUCGGCUAGAGUCCGGAAGAGGAGAGUGGAAUUCCAGGUGUAGCGGUGAAAUGCGUAGAUAUCUGGAGGAACACCGGUGGCGAAGGCGGCAUCCUGGACCGGUAUUGACGCUGAGGAGCGAAAGCCAGGGGAGCAAACGGG
rnacentral:rRNA from 1 species